AGGGACUCUAAUACAGAUAGAGAAACGCAAUGUUAAACGAAGAAGUACUUAUGUUAUAUUCCUUGGUGUAAGAAAGAAAGAUUGCAGGUCAAGUGAACCCUCAUUUGCAAAAUAAAGAUAUAUCUUUCUCUCUCCAUAACUUGUUCUUUUCUCUGUCACCGAAAACCCAGCAGGGGUCCGGACGGAAUGAAUGAAUGGACGGAAUGAAGGAAUGAAUUCAAAGAUUAUUAUAGUU